rnacentral:misc_RNA from 1 species
GCGCCGCGUCAUUGCAGGCUCAAACAGACGCACGCACGCACACACACACACACACACACACACACAACAUGAACACACCUUAUCAUGCAAGCGUUGUCAUUUCACCCGUUGCGGCCGCCGCUUCUUCCUCGACGCUUCGCUGUGGUCGUCAAUCGGUGCUGUGUCGUAUUGUCGCAAGGACGGUGAGCUCGGAGGUGCACUUCUGCCGUGCUCUCGAGCCUCUUCGUCGCGGCUGCCGUAUCCCUGGUUUGGGGAGUCUGUUGUCUGCAGCGCGAGACUUUUCCUCCACCACGCCUUCCUACUUGCCUGCUUUCGACGUCUUUAACAAGCGGCAGACAUCGGACUCAGCAUCAUCAUCCGCAAUCGCCGGUGCUCCAUCACCAUCUCGGAGCAGCUGCGGCCGUGCUCACGCCGACCAUCAUCGUCACCAGCAUUCUCCACGUGCGCGCCGACGUUCUUGCACGCCGCAGGACACCGAUGCCUCCGCCUCGACGGAGCCGUACGCGUUUCCUGUGGGACGCGCUUUGCGCUACGUGCAGCUUGGCCGGCGCUAUCAUGGCCAGACCGAGGGGCAGUCGACUUUGUACGAGUGGCUGGCGGAGAUGCCAUUCCCACCUUCUGCGGAGGCAGCGGGGCCGCUCUGGGGGAACGGAGGCGCCGAUGUGGAGGGCUGCUCUACCUCGAAGACGGAUACGCACGGCCCGGAGCUCGUUGCGGAGGUGUCUAGCUUUGCGAAGUACCACGCUCAUCACGCCCUGAUCGAGUUCAAGGAGCUGCGCCGCCGGAUCGCAGAGGCGGAGUCGUGUGCGCAGGUAGCCCGAGUCGGCUCGCAGCGACCAGCAAACUCCUCACCGCCGAACCGCCACGAGCGCGCUGCAGACCGCAACGCUGAGGAGCCCUCGCCCUCGUCUUCUACGUCGCCGUCUCCCACGUCGUCCCUGUCUCCACAUCCGCUUCCGGCCCACCUCGCUGCGGCGCUGACGCAGUCGCUCUUCAGUGUCACGGUGCUGCUGCAUGUGAGCGGUCUUUUCGGCGUCGCAGACACGCACGUAGAGCGUCUGUUGGAUGUGUGCUUCUCCACCUCCAUUUUCCUUGCGCAGGAUUCCGCUGCAGCUGCGGCUUUGACGCGCCGGCAGCGAGGCAACCUCUCCGCGCCAUCUAGCGCCUCUGAGUUUCCUCGACGGCAUGGCGCCACUGCCGCCUUUGUGGAGGCACCGCCGAGGUCGCGGCAUCUGCACUCGCUUCACUGGGCGAUUGUGCACUUCGCGGCGGGGGUACAGCAUUGGGGGCUGCUGGAGCACACAAGUCCGCUGCAAGAUGUCGGCAGGACGCAGCGUCCAUACGAGCGCCUGCUGCAGGUACACGCUGCCCUGCUUUGCGAGCAGACACGCCGGUGCGUGGAUCAUGUGCUGUGGCAUGAGCUUGUUCUACUCAAGGCGGGCCGCCGCGCUGAGGCAGCGCGAGAUGCCUGGUUUAUGGGCCCCGACGCGGCGGCGUACUCCGUGCUGUUCGGCGCUCAGUCAAACUCAUCUUCCUCUUGCGGCAAUGCCGCGGAUGCAGGCUCACUGGCGCGUCGUGUGCCGCCUCGCUUGCAGCAGCGCCGCCUGCAGCUUCUACCACUGCUGUGGCUCUCACUUCUCUGUUCCCAGCUGCAGAAAAGACAGACGCCAACGGCGCAGACGCCGUCCACGUGCGCUGCACCACACAGCUCGCCCUCUCCGCCAGACGCCGAGGAGGUGACCUGGGCUUCAGCACGCCACGCCUUCGCCGCCCUCUUGCCGCUCUUCUCGAAGGAUGCGCGACUGGACGUGACGGCGUGGGCGGCGCUGCAUCUUCUCUUCCUUCCACACAGAAGGGCGCGCCUCUCAAAUGCGAAGGGUGCGGAGACGAAGAUGACACAUGCAUGCACCAUCUCUGCUCCAGCGGCGGCAGCGAAUGCGACUUUGCCGGAGCUGUGCGCACUCCUGGCGCGUGUCGAGCGUGAAGGCGCCUUGCUAGAGCUCGGCCCGGCUCUUCCGGGACCGGCUAGCGCGCACGCGGAGUCGUCCGCAUAUUUUCACCUCGCCUCGUUUCUGCGUUGUUGGCUGGAUGCGUCCACGGCACGAUCAUCUGUGCCCUCGUCUCCCGGCACAGCUCGCGCUGAACUUGCAGACAGCAGCGGGUGCAUCCACCGUGGCGAUAAUGCGUUGAACACAUUGCAAACGCCAAUGCACACAGCAGGCCAGCUUUAUCGUGCGCUGCUGAACAUUCCGCUCUCAGCCCUCUUCCUCCCCUCACCCAAGCCUUCUUCCGGUGAUGGCCUUUGCUCCGCGUCUGUACUCGCUGAGUAUGCCUCGACAGAGCCGUCGCUGAGGAAGCGGCUUUCUGUGACUGCAGAGGGAGCGCGUCUGCUUAAUCGAUUGCUGCUGCGUGUGCUGCUGCAGUGGCGCAGCGAUCGCCGUGUUCGGAGGGUACCGCAAAGAAGUGGCGGCGCGUCAGCACGGUCCACGUCGGAGAAGUUGCCCUCUGCAGGCGGCGUCGCAUCAAUCGCGCCCGAGUGUUCGUCGUCCGCGUGCACGCCAUGCACUGAAAGCGCUGGUUCAGGAGGACGCAGGGAAGCGAUCGAAGCUGCUCAGGGUGACCGUCCUCCCGGUGCGCUUCCAGCCUCCCAACCGGGCCUGCCGCAAGAGAUGACCGUGUCCGCUGCGGAGAGCAGGCGGCAGUGGGAGCGGGAGCUCGUUUGCGUCCUCAAAGCUACUCAUCACUUGGGCGCGCUGAUAACAGCAGGCGCGGCCGAUGGUGUCUCACGUGAUGGCAGCAGUGAUCGUGGCACGGGGCUCAUCCGCGCGUUCGUUGCGCCAACAGCCCAGGCAGUGGUCCGUGCUCUGGCGGAACAGCUUGGUAGAUCUCUUUUACCAUGGCGACUGCUUCUCCUCCACUGCGAACAUGUGCCGCUCACUGCGGCGGAGCUGCAGCUCCUUGGCAAGCUGGAUGCCACCCUGCGUCACGUACUGCUCCUGUACUCUCCUCAACGUGUUCGCGCGAGCGACGCAGCAGCUUCCACCACGCCUACGGACGUGGGAUCGCUGCCGAUGACCUAUCGAGUGUCGAUGAAUGCGCUGAUGCGCACAGCUGCCUGAGGGCAUGCUUACGUAUACGAUAUCGGCAUUUCAAUGCUUUCUUUUUCUACCGUUUUUCUCUCCUUCCCGAACGACGGAGGUGGAACGCCCCAG